rnacentral:rRNA from 1 species
GACGAACCGAGCGAACGUUGUUCGGAAUCACUGGGCUUAAAGGGCGCGUAGGCGGGCUGUCAAGUCUGGGGUGAAAUCCCGCGGCUCAGCCGUGGAACUGCCUCAGAUACUGACGGUCUCGAGGGAGGUAGGGGCGAGCGGAACUGAUGGUGGAGCGGUGAAAUGCGUUGAUAUCAUCAGGAACUCCGGUGGCGAAGGCGGCUCGCUGGACCUCUUCUGACGCUGAGGCGCGAAAGCCAGGGGAGCAAACGGG